rnacentral:lncRNA from 1 species
AAUGUUCUCGUACGAUCGGGAGACGUUAAAAAAAUGACCCAACAACUGAUUCAGCCGGUAACGAAUUUCCGAUAUCAUAAAAGAUUCACAAUAAAAAGGGAACUUCCUCUGCUUAAUUGAGCCCCUAAAUAAAUGUGAAUAGUUGAGUUUUAUUCAAAAUUGUCGAAAGCAAAGUUUCAUAUGUGUUCUCGUACGAAUACUGAAUAACAGAUGGACGGCCACACG